GAUGAACGCUGGCGGCGUGCCUAAUACAUGCAAGUCGAGCGAACAGACAAUAAGCUUGCUCCCCUGCCGUUAGCGGCGGACGGGUGAGUAACACGUGCAUCGCCUACUUCUAUGUCUUGGAUAAUAUCGUGAGACCGGUGCCACUACUGGCUCAUAUGUUCUACCGCAUGGUUCAAUAGUGAUUGACGGCUUUCGUGUCACUAUUAGAUGGAUCCGCGCUGGAUUGGCUAGUUGGUAAGGUAACGGCCUACCAAGGCGACGAUGCGUAGCCGACCUGAGAGGGUGAUCGGCCACACUGGAACUGAGACACGGUCCAGACUCCUACGGGAGGCAGCAGUAGGGAAUCUUCGGCAAUGGGCGAAAGCCUGACGCAGCCACGCCGCGUGGGUGAUGAAGGUCUUCGGAUUGUAAAGCCCUGUUAUUGGGAAAGAACAACAGUAGAAUAAACCACGGACGUCUUGACGGUACCUAAACAGAAAGCCACGGCUAACUACGUG
rnacentral:rRNA from 1 species